AGGGAGGCAUUAGGGGACCGACCAGGGCUAGUAGCUUUACGUUGUUGAACGUCCAGUAUGGACCCGAAGCCUCCCCCAUCUAAACCCUCUGCGUACCUGUCCCUUCUUGCUUCCCCCGGCAUCUCGUCGGGGGGAGGUAACAACCAAAACUCUCUGUGAAUCAAACAGCCGUCAGAAUUAUAAAACAAACAAAAAGUUAAAACUUUCAACAACGGAUCUCUUGGUUCCCACAUCGAUGAAGAACGCAGCGAAAUGCGAUAAGUAAUGUGAAUUGCAGAAUUCAGUGAAUCAUCGAAUCUUUGAACGCACAUUGCGCCCCCUGGUAUUCCGGGGGGCAUGCCUGUUCGAGCGUCAUAAAAACCUCCUCCCCCUUCGGGUUUUGUUACUAUCGUUGGGGGGUUUUGGCCUAAUGGGAUAGCGAUUGGCAAUUCGUUUCCCAAUGUCCUAAAUAGACGUAGACCCGCCUCCAGAUGCGACAGCACCGAGGCCAUCAACCGUGGAGUUAUGGGAUAUAAUAGGCUUGCAGUAAAAUGCUCACCUCUCUCCACACGCCGAUGGCACGACAGUUGCAGUUGCGGGCGUAAAUUGGAGCCCUUUUCACGACCCUCGUGGCCUAGCAUCCACCAUACAUAAUUUGACCUCGGAUCAGGUAGGGAUACC
rnacentral:rRNA from 1 species